ACGGAGGGUGCAAGCGUUAAUCGGAAUUACUGGGCGUAAAGCGCACGCAGGCGGUCGGAUGAGUCGGAUGUGAAAGCCCUGGGCUUAACCGGGAGAGGACGUGCGAGACUGUCGGACUAGAGGCAGGUAGAGGCAAGUGGAAUUCCGGGUGUAGUGGUGAAAUGCGUAGAGAUCCGGAGGAACCCCGGUGGCGAAGGCGACUUGCUGGGCCUGAACUGACGCUCAGACGCGAAAGCAUGGGGAGCGAACGG
rnacentral:rRNA from 1 species